AGAGGGUGCGAGCGUUAAUCGGAUUUACUGGGCGUAAAGGGCGCGUAGGCGGUUAUAUGAGUGUGAUGUGAAAGCCCUGGGCUUAACCUAGGAAGUGCAUCGCAAACGAUAUGACUGGAGUACUAGAGAGGGUAGCGGAAUUUCCGGUGUAGCGGUGAAAUGCGUAGAGAUCGGAAGGAACGUCAAUGGCGAAGGCAGCUGCCUGGAUAGAUACUGACGCUGAGGCGCGAGAGCGUGGGGAGCAAACAGGAUUAGAUACCCUGGUAGUCCACGCUGUAAACGAUGAGAACUAGAUGUUGGAUGGGGAACCAUUUGGUGUCGAAGCAAACGCGAUAAGUUCUCCGCCUGGGAAGUACGGCC
rnacentral:rRNA from 1 species